rnacentral:tRNA from 1 species
UCCCUGGCAAUCCAGUAGUUAGGACUCUGCACUUCCAAUGCAGGGGGCACAGGUUGGAUCCCUGGUCAGAGAA